CUGAUAUUUUAAGAAAUUGGCAGGGCCCUUCAAAUCACAGGGCAGACUCCCCUGACUGCAGAGGCUGGUUGCCUGGUAACCACCUCCCAUGACGCCAUCACCAGCAGCAGAGUCCGGGUAGCAAGACCCAGGCGAAACGCUCUGGGCUGGACCCUCCUCUCCGUCAACCACAGCCUUUCACCUCGGGGGAUGCAGCAGAUUCCUGGCCCCCGGAGACGUCAACGUCCUCAUACCUGCCACCUGUCGCUAUGGGACCUGCAGACUCGCAGAUGCUGUCAAGUGAAGAUGUGAUGCCUGGAGCUAUGGCAACCAGUUUAUGUCCAUGAGGCGACAAGCCAAAGGACAAAUAGCCAACAUUCAAGGAUGGUUGAGGGAAAGGAGAGGAGCCUAUGUCCUUGAGGACAUCAUUGCCUCUUUCUCAGCGCCAGUGAUGCCCGUCUCCAUACUUCUUGUUUCAGGAGUGUCUUAGUUUCCUGUUGAUGCUGUAUAAAAAUUACCACUAAUUGGCUGGCUUAAAACAGUCGGAAUGUAUUCCCUCAGAAGUCUGGACAUCAGAAGUUGAAAUGGGUUUCAUUAGGCUGAAACCAAGGUGUUGGCAGGGCUGUGCCUCCUCUGGAGGCCCUUGGGGAGAAUCCCUUCCUUGCCUUCUCCAGCGUCCCGUGGCUGCCUUCAUUCCCUGGCUCGUUCGUGGCUGCAUCACUCCAACUUCUCCUCUAUGGUCACAUCUCCUUCUCUCUUCCCUCCUCUUGUCAUAUCUCCUCCGCCUCCUUCGCAUAAGGAGACAUGUGAUUACAUUUACGGCUCCCCUGAGUCAUCCAGGAGAACCUCCCCAUCUCAAGACCCUUGACUUACUCCCAUCUGCGAAGUCCCUUUUUCCAGGUAAGACGGCAUUCACAGGUUCCGAGGAUAAAGACCUGGACGUCUUCGGGAAGCGUCUGCAGCAGCGUGCCACCGUGAGACAGUGAACUGCCCUGCUGAGUCCUCUGUUUGAAACAGAGCAGGACCCUAUGGUCCUUCCCCCACCCCCUGCCCCCCAGGUCCUCCACCUGCCUUUUGUCUGUAGAAAAACUUUAGACAAAGAAUAAGUUUAAUCAGCGAAGUGGGAAAAUGCAGAAGCAAAGGAAAACAGUCAGACAGGACAGAAUAAUAAUAGUUCAGAGCAGAGUCAAGGACUUUUAGAUCCUCCUCAAGGGCUGGAGAUACUGCUCUGAGCCACGUCCUGUGAGCUGUUUUGUAGAUGCCGAAACCGCCACCAGGAAGAAGUUAACUGCACGAUGGUCAGCCUCUAGCCAUGACAUAAGCUGCCACAAUUUCGAGAGCUGGUCUCAAAGAAAUGGGAACAAACCGACCCUGGACCUGAAGACUAACUGCACUUAAACAAUCAAGAUGACGCUGGUCAGACCACCGAUGACCGAUUUCAAGGUGACUGUCAGAGCUGACUGUGCUGUUCUGCAUGCAGCCCCCUCCCUCCCCUUAUACACCCCUGAAACUCCCCUUUAAAAGCUCUGCCCGGGGCUUCCCUGGUGGUGCAGUGGGUGAGAGUCCGCCUGCCGAUGCAGGGGACGCGGGUUCGUGCCCCGGUCAGGGAAGAUCCCACAUGCCGCGGAGCGGCUGGGCCCGUGAGCCAUGGCCGCUGGGCCUGCGUGUCCAGAGCCUGUGCUCCGCAACGGGAGAGGCCACAACAGUGGGAGGCCCGCGUACCGCAAAAAAAAAAAACAACCUCUU